GGGGUUGUGGCUCAGUGGUAGAGCACUUGCCUAGCAUGUAUGAGCUACUGGGUUCAAUUCUCAGCACUGCA
rnacentral:tRNA from 1 species